rnacentral:rRNA from 1 species
UAACAAGGAUUCCCCUAGUAACUGCGAGUGAAGCGGGAAGAGCUCAAAUUUAAAAGCUGGUAGCUUUGUUACCCGCGUUGUAAUCUGGAGAAGCGUUUUCCGCGUCGGACCGUGUACAAGUCUCUUGGAACAGAGCGUCAUAGAGGGUGAGAAUCCCGUCCAUGACACGGACUGCCGAUGCUUUGUGAUACGCUCUCGAAGAGUCGAGUUGUUUGGGAAUGCAGCUCAAAAUGGGUGGUAAAUUCCAUCUAAAGCUAAAUAUUGGCGAGAGACCGAUAGCGAACAAGUACCGUGAGGGAAAGAUGAAAAGCACUUUGGAAAGAGAGUUAAACAGUACGUGAAAUUGUUGAAAGGGAAACGCUUGGAGUCAGUCGCGUCUUCCAGGACUCAGCCUUGCCYUCGGGUUUGGUGUACUUCCUGUUAGACGGGUCAACAUCGAUUUUGGUCGGCGGAUAAAGGGAAAGGGAAUGUGGCACCUUCGGGUGUGUUAUAGCCUUUUCUCGUAUACGUCGUCUGGGAUCGAGGACCGCAGCGCGCCUACUAGGCCGGGGGUUCGCCCCACGUACCGCGCUUAGGAUGUUGACAUAAUGGCUUUAAGCGACCCGUCUUGAAACACGGACCAAGGAGUCUAACAUGCUCGCGAGUGUUAGGGUGGAAAACCCUUGCGCGUAAUGAAAGUGAAAGUUGGGACCUCUUUGAGGGCACCGACGCCCGGCCCAGAAGUUUUCUGACGGUGCUGCGGUAGAGCGCGUAUGUUGGGACCCGAAAGAUGGUGAACUAUGCCUGAAUAGGGCGAAGCCAGAGGAAACUCUGGUGGAGGCUCGUAGCGAUUCUGACGUGCAAAUCGAUCGUCAAAUUUGGG